GUCUUGCUGCUCCGUUCGUCGAAAGCUUCACAUCCCGGGGACCUUAAUUCACCUCUAAGGGAGCUGUUCCCGUCCAGGCUCGUGGGCUUGGACACACGGCGCCCACCUGUUCAAAACAGGUCCGAGGGGAUUGAAUCCGCUUUCACGGCUCAUAGUGGCGCCGCC
rnacentral:other from 1 species